GCAAUAUCCUGCAUGUGGGCCGGUGAGGGAGAUCUUUGAUCUCCCCACCGGCCCGCUGUAGAAUACUGCAGGGCCGGCGCUCGGAUAGUGCCGGCCCUGCAAAGACCGGCAGGGGAGAUCCUGUGAUCUCCCUGCCGGCUUCGGCCCACGGCCACCGCAGCCCACCCGGCAUUUGCCAGUCUGGGCCUGCUCCCGAGGCUUGCAUUUGCUCUGUUUGUAGGUGGGAGGAGAGGAAGCGCUGUCUCCUGGGCUCUCCCUGUGUGCCCCGAAGUGGUGUCAGAGCCGGUAUAUGACAUUACUCCGGCCCCGGCAUCACUAAGCGGCGCGAGGGAAAAGAGCAGGAAGAGAAGAGCUCCCUCGCCACCUCCAUUGACCGUCAUCUGCUCAGCACCAUAGGAACCAGCCCAGUAGUCCCACUGGACCCCAUAAAAAUAGAGAAUCCACACUAACACUCCCAAAGGUAGGGAGGCUGGGUGGAUUGAAAUUUAAAAAGCAAAAAAAAUGCGAGUGUGUUAGUAUGAGUGUGUGUCUGUUACUGAGUGUGUGUGUCAAUUAAUGAAUGUGUGUGUCUGUCAGGGAGUGUGCAUGUGUGUCUCUCAGUGUGUAUGUGUCUGACUCUGAUUGGGUGUGUGUCUGUCAGUGAGUGUGUCUGGCACUUAGAGUGUGCGUCUGUCACUGAGUGUGUUCGUCAGUCAGUGAAUGUGUGUUUGUGUUUCUGUCCGUUAGUGUGUGUGUGUGUGUGUGUGUGUGUCUGUCAAUGAAUGUGUAUCUGUGUCCGUCAGUGUGUGUGUGUGUUGGGGGUGCCCUUGUUUCAUGCCUAGGGAAGCUGAAAAAAAUGCACCACUGCUGUAUGUGUGCUCUCAGUUAACCUCUCUCAUACCUUUUAUCAGCCUGUGGGGACCCACUGAAAUAACACGAGUUCACAAUUUGUAUAUACAGACUCAAGGUUAAUCCCUGCUUUACUGUACUGAAUUGAUUAUUUUACUGACACAUCAUGAUCACUUGCACUUUGUGGCACGUAAGGGGUUAAAACGAGCCGCUGACUUUGAUUCCUUGCAUACUGCAUUAACUCUUUGAGAGAUGGAGUAGAACAUUAAGUAGUCUUAUUUGUAUAGUUCUCAAAUAUCGUUGCAAAUUGAAGCAUCUUGUAUGAUCAUUAGAUGUAUGAGUCCAUAGGGCAAAACUUGGUCAAAUUCUUCAAGGCCCCUUCGUUUCUUAGGUCGCUUUUUGUGAUUACUCCAGCUAUGUUGCAUAAUCUGUGUAUAUAUAAUAUAUACAGAGCGUUUAAUAAUCUGCUCUAAUAUCUAACGUAACACAGCUAACUUGGGUUUUUUUUGAAUCUCCGCCCAUGGGGAAGUCCUGAUGACGCUGUUUUUUUAAGCAAGAUGUAAGAGAUGUUCACGUAACUCUGGGAUUCUGUACUACUACCACUCACAUCACGGCUACUCUAACAGUGUCUAUGGAAUGACUUGUUUUAUCUGAGAACAAAGUGGAUAUAUCUGCAUGGAAUUAAGGACACAAUUUACUCUGUUCCUUUAUCACUCCGUAAUGAGUGCACUGUCAGCAUCUGCAAGAGCAAGUCAACGCUGCAAAACCCUGGAACUGUGAAAUGUAAGUAUAUCCCAAUCUAUAAAAAGAAACGUUUACAGUUUAUCUUUCCCCGAGCCUACAACCC
rnacentral:lncRNA from 1 species